rnacentral:rRNA from 1 species
CCUACGGGUGGCAGCAGUGAGGAAUAUUGGUCAAUGGCCGGAAGGCUGAACCAGCCAAGCCGCGUGAAGGACGAAGGUGCCAAGCAUUUUAAACUUCUUUUGUCAAGGGACAAAAUCAUGCUCGAGAGCCUGACCGACGGUACUUUAAGAAAAAGCAUCGGCUAACUCCGUGCCAGCAGCCGCGGUAAUACGGAGGAUGCGAGCGUUAUCCGGAUUUAUUGGGUUUAAAGGGUGCGUAGGGGGACUGUUAAGUCAGCGGUAAAAGACCGGGGCUAAACCCGGGCGAGCCGUUGAAACUGGCUGGCUUGAGAAGUGGAGAGGUAUGCGGAAUGCGGAGUGUAGCGGUGAAAUGCGUAGAUAUUACGCAGAACUCCGAUUGCGAAGGCAGCAUACCGGAGGGGAUCUGACGUUGAGGCACGAAAGCGUGGGUAGCGAACAGGAUUAGAUACCCUUGUAGUC